rnacentral:misc_RNA from 1 species
GGUUCCACUUGGUGUUGCCAUUAUUGCAAUCUCUGUCCAAGAUGAAUGCUCCUUUAUAAUCACAUUGGCUACAUGACAACGAUGAUGAAGAUGGUGAUCUCCUGCCACUGCCACUNNNCCACAAACACUCUUUGCUUAUUAUUAUUCUUAUUGUUCCUCUUAACCCCUUGUGCAUCUUGUCCAAGGCUGAUCACACAAAGAUUUGAUCUAAUGAUACAUUCUGGAAGUGGAAGUGAAUUGACUAUUUCUUCCCAUCUCAUAUUCUCAUUUUCCUUCACUUCACCACUUCUUUGUUGUGGCUGCUGCUGUAAUUACUAUUGGUCGCCUCCUAAGAACCACCACCAUUGGUAUUGAUUUCUAUUGAUACUAACUGUAGCAGUGGCUCCUCUGGGGCUAGUGCUUAAAAAGGGCCAAACACCAUCAACCUUAGACCUAGACCUGCAUCUAGGUCAUAGCAUUCAGCAUCAGACCUGAACUGCCCUUGGCUAUCUGUGCGAUAACCACUCACAACCUAGAAACUGGAAUCACCCUCCCAAGCUAAACCCUGACACUCGUCCCUCUCUUUAAUCAAAUCUAGCAGCUUUUGCCAUUCAUUUUUAUCAACAUCAUAG